rnacentral:lncRNA from 1 species
UCGGCAUGAAGAAGAAAGGCGUCGACGAGUUCCCGUUCUGCGUCCACCUCGUCUCCUGGGAGAAGGAGAACGUCUCCAGCGAGGCUCUCGAGGCGCCUAAGUCCCACUUCUGUCGCGGAGUCCCCGACCCGAAGAUCCGAAUCUACGACGUUGGCAUGAAGAAGAAAGGCGUCGACGAGUUUCCCGUUCUGCGGGAGAAGGAGAACGUCUCCAGCGAGGCUCUCGAGGCGGCGCGUAUCGCGGGUAACAAGUACAUGGCCAAGUUCGCCUGGAAAGACGCGUUCCAUCUACGCGUUAGGGUUCAUCCUUUCCAUGUGCUCCGCAUCAAUAAGAUGCUCUCGUGCGCUGGAGCCGAUAGGCUUCAGACUGGUACGAGGGGGGCGUUUGGGAAGCCUCUUGGGACUUGCGCUAGUGUUGAUAUCGGACAGGUGUUGCUCUCUGUGAGGUGCAAGGAUAGCAACAAGAACAAUGCUUGUGAGGCUCUCAGGAGGGCUAAGUUUAAGUUCCCCAGUCGCCAGAAGAUCAUUGAGAGCAGGAAGUGGUGAGUACUUGCGCUAAUUUUAUUGUUUGAUUAGUUGAAUUUGAUUGUUUAUUUGAUUCGUGAAGUAUGUGGUUUCGAUUGCGAUAUUAUGAUCUGUUUUCCGAUUGAAUUGUUUUGGUUGUUAACCGAUAGCUGUGUAAAUGUUUAGUUUUGACCGGUGGUUAGCUGUAAUUAGGUGUAUAAAUGUUGAAUUGCAUACGUAAUCUGUACAUAUAUCGUAAUAUUUUUUGUGUGGUGGCUGGCGGAGUGAGUUUAUUGUCUUAUUAGUGUUGUGUUUUAUUGAGGCUCAUGAUAACAGAUGAAGUGGACAUGUGGAAUUUGAACUUGUUAUUUGAUUUUUUGUGCCGCGAGUGAGUGUGUUAUUGUUGGUUUUGGGUGUUGACACAAUUCAUAGUGUUGGUUCCUAGCUUAUGUUUUUAGUUCUGCAGAGAUUCAACAUGUGUGAUGCGCUUUGUGUAUUUGUUAUGCUCCCUUGGUGGCUUAUUUGUCUUGUGGGAUUGAAUCUUAUGUUACAACUUUGUUAAUUUUCAGGGGAUUUACCAAGUUCAACCGUGUUGACUAUGUGAGAUUGAAGUCAUAGAAACACGUCCUUCCUGAUGGUGUCAAUGCUAAGGUUAGUGAAUUCCUAAUGAAUGAACCACAUCUUGUAGUAUUGCUAUUUGUAGGAUUAGAUUCCUUUGUGUCGGCUUUUAUCUUAACUUGGGCACAAGUUUCCAAUGUCUAAGCUAGGCCUCAUUGUUUCCUUCCAAGUAUGCAGGUUUCACACUCUUAUGGUGUUAUCUACUGCAUUAUUUGGCAAACCUGCCUUGCAGAAUCUCAUUUGCAAUGGACUUGUACUUGCUGAGGACGGAAAAAUAAUGAGUAAAAGUCUGAAAAAUUAUCCUCCACCAAUUGAUGUUAUCGAUCAGUGUGUAGCUGUACAUGUUUAUAGUAACUGACUGUUCGUAUUAUAGUUUCUGUGCCUUUUCUUUCCCUGGUUUCUUUGUCAAAUGGUGGGAAGAUGAUAUAUUUCACAAAAAUCAUGUCUAAUAAAAUUUCUGUUGUGCAAGAUGCAGUACAAUUAUUGGCUGGGUUGGAUAAUCAAUUUCAAACCUUUGAGGUUUUUGAAUCAGUUGCGAGUGGUUUUGAAGCUGCGAAAGAAGAAGAUGUCUAUGGGUAAUGGGUUUUCAAUUCCAUUCAUUUUUUUGUUUCAAUUACGUCUCAUCCACUGAAAACUGAGUUUCGUAACAGUAUACUAAAACGCAGACCAUGAUAGUAAAUCAUUAGAAUACUCCAAUCAUUUCCCUCAUAUAAAAAAUUAACAUGCAUGCAAUUGGUGAUGAAUUCCGUUGUUGUAAUUGAGCUUUGAGUUUUUGUUUUUGGUUUGGUUNNNNNNNNNNNNNNNNNNNNUUCUUCGUCUUCGUCAGAGGAACUAAAACUCAUCGAAAACAACGCAAGAGAGAGAGACUGAAAGAGAGAGGGAGAGCAGAGCAAAGCAAAGCAAGACGAUCGUUCUUUAGGUAAGCUAUCCCCUUUCUCUUUCUGCAAGAAAUCGUCCUGUCCGUUCUUUAGGUAAGCUAUCCCCAAUUUUUUGGUUCAAUUUCUGGUAGGUAUUCCACUGCUCAUGUAUUUUAUACAUAUUCCAAUUGAAAAUCAUGUAUAUCUAUUUGCUUCAGAUUCCUCAGUAAUUAUGUUAUUGAUUAAUUUCACAUUUUGGUUUUUAUGUAGUUCUAGAUUCAGACUUGCUUAUUCUUUUUGCAGCUAUUCUAAAAUGUAUGUCUUUUUUUUCAACUUUGCCUACAAUGUUAUUGUUUCUUUGUGGCUCAGUUUUAUGAUUUGAAUGGUGUGUUUUACGGUGUUACCAUUUCAAUUGGCUUAUCAUCAUUCAUGGUUUUUCCUGUUUUAGAAGGUGAGGGGGUAAUAUGUAUAUCAGAAAUUAGACAAGAAAUUUUUGUCUCCUUAUUUUAUGAUUUUGCUGGUAGAUUUUGGUUGCUGUUGCUGUGCCUUUUUGAGGAUGGUCUCUGUAAUUCAGGUUAAUAUCUAAACUUAAAUUCAAAACUCAAGCAAUACCCAGUAAUAAAUAUUAGCCAAGGAAUAAGCCACACUGCAUGAUGUUUUAUUAGUAAGUUUGGGUUUCUAUCUUACAGUGUACUCAUAUGAUUGAAAUCUAAAAUUUAUUUUUCUUAAUAAUCUAUGUUUUCUCAAUCCUAUCUUUAAGUAACGUUUUAGGCAUGUUUAACUUAUAUAAGAAAAGACCGAGAAGACUAUUGGUUCAUGUUCAUGCUUGCCCUCUAAGAUGCCCAGCAACUGAUGAUAUGAAAGCCUGAAACGGAAUGUCUACUCAGAGACGAAAAUGCAAAGAUUCAUUGGAUGCACAUUUAAGUAGACAUAAUUUCAUCAUUCACAAGCCUUCUAAACACAUAAAGAACAUGCUUACUUAUAUUUGUUUGAGAUAAAAAGAAAAUUUGUUGCUGUAUUUUUAUCAUGUUUAUAUUAGACUAUGACUUAAUUUCUUUCUAAAUUCCACGCCAUCACUAAUUAAAUUUUAUAUUUUAGUGUCGGUUUAACAUUUUAUGAGAAAAUUGUUCGUGUUUUAUUGCCAGUUUAAUAUUUUUCUAAAAAACAAUGAGCGUCACUCACUUAAAAAAAAAAAAAUAAAUAAAUAAAAGAAGCAGGGCAAACCAGACCCAGCCUUCAGUACUAUAGAUAUAAAGCAGACCCAGCCUUCAUUACCAUAAACAAACCCUACCCCAAGUCCCGCUUCUGUCGCGGAGUCCCCGACCCGAAGAUCCGAAUCUACGACGUCGGCAUGAAGAAGAAAGGCGUCGACAAGUUUCCGUUCUACGUCCACCUCGUCUUCUGGGAGAAGGAGAACGUCUCCAGCGAGGCUUUCGAGGCGGCGCGUAUCGCGGGUACGAUGUCGGCAUGAAGAAGAAAGGCGUCGACGAGUUCCGUUCUGCGUCCACCUCGUCUCCUGGGAGAAGGAGAACGUCUCCAGCGAGGCUCUCAAGGCG